rnacentral:ncRNA from 2 species
GGUGCAGUUGGUGGUGAUUUGGCCGGUCCGAUUGCAGGCCACCUUAAAAAAGACUGCUAAAGUGACCAGUUCGAACCGGCC